rnacentral:rRNA from 1 species
AGAGUUUGAUCCUGGCUCAGAACGAACGCUGGCGGCGUGGAUAAGACAUGCAAGUCGAACGCGACUUAUCUGGUUAGCAAUAACUAGGUAAGUUGAGUGGCGAAAGGGUGCGUAACACGUGGGAAUUUACCAAGAAGUGGGGAAUAGCUCGACGAAAGUCGAAUUAAUACCGCAUAUGAUCGCAAGAUCAAAGCCGGGGACCGCAAGGCCUGGCGCUUUUUGAGAAGCCCGCGGCCCAUCAGCUAGUUGGCGAGGUAAAAGCUCACCAAGGCUAUGACGGGUAGCUGGUCUGAGAGGACGACCAGCCACACUGGAACUGAGACACGGUCCAGACACCUACGGGUGGCAGCAGUCGAGAAUUUUUCACAAUGGACGAAAGUCUGAUGGAGCGACGCCGCGUGGAGGAUGAAGGUUUUCGGAUUGUAAACUCCUGUCACUGCAGAACAAGGUUACGCCAGUUAAUAGCUGGCGUAAUUGAUGGUAUGCGGAGAGGAAGGGACGGCUAACUCUGUGCCAGCAGCCGCGGUAAGACAGAGGUCCCGAGCGUUGUUCGGAUUCAUUGGGCGUAAAGGGUGUGUAGGAGGUUGGGUAAGUCAGGUGUGAAAUCUCAGAGCUUAACUCUGAAACUGCGCUUGAUACUGCUCAGCUAGAGGAUCGGAGGGGGUAACGGAAUUCAUGGUGUAGCAGUGAAAUGCGUAGAUAUCAUGAGGAACACCGGUGGCGAAGGCGGUUACCUGGAAGAUUCCUGACUCUGAAACACGAAAGCCAGGGGAGCAAACGGGAUUAGAUACCCUAGUAGUCC